AUGGGUUGGGUGAGUCUCUUGAAGACAGCAGAUACUUGGAGCUGCUGUACUAUCUUCCACAGUGGUGAAGAAUUCUCCUUGUGUCACUGGGACCUUCCAUUUGCUAUGGCUUGUGUACAUUCUCAAGUGGCUUUCAGAGUUAUUUCAAAAGAAGUCGGGACCAGCGAUGCCAGCAUGGCUGAGCUUUUCACAGGUUUUACACCUAGAAAUGGGUGGUACAGCAAGAUCCAAGGCAAAAAGAUGGCUCCUCUUGCCUCUAGGACACCCCACACCCCACUCUUUGAUCCAGAGGUGAUGGAGACUGUGAGGAAGGAUGAGGUGGAAAGCUCCAGCCAGUCCCUCCAUUCGGGGUCCCGGUCCCUGACUUCCUGCAACAUGAAGAGUUAAUGUCCAAGAAUAUUUAAAAUUCAUGGAAGACACCAAACCACUAUUCAGAGAACACCCAGGAGGACAACCACUGCUAAUAAUACUAAUAACCACAACAAUAAUAAACACUGCCUAGAUGAAGCAUAGUACAACUGCUGCUGGAAAAACAGAAAACAGACACUGCAAACAGAGGAACAAAAAGAAAAUCACAAACUUUGAAUCAGAAACCAUCCAAGACAGAACAUUUUAAAGCAUUUAAAACAGCAUGCCUUUAAAGCUAGAAUUCUAUAUCAGCAAAAAUAAUCUUUCAAAAAUGAAAGGCAAAUAGGAGACUUCAGCUUCUGACCAAGAUGAACUAACAAGAGCAAGAUUAACCAUCCCAUGAGGAAAAAAAACCCAAAACCUAAAAAUAAAAACAUAUGAAACAUUUUCAAGAUAGUGAGCAUCAGGCAAGAAGGCCAGGGACCCAGAGAGAUGGGUAACCAGAAUUCAAAGCAAAGCAAACCCUAGAGAUGUGCAGAGGGCCACACUUCCAAGCACACGUGGAACAUUUUAAAAAACAAUUAUGCAGUGUGGUGGCUCAUGCCUGUAAUCCCAGUACUUGGGAGGCUGAGGCCUCACAAACACAAUAUAGAAGAACUUUUGAGUUGAAUUAAUAGUCAUCAUGAAAAUUUAAGAAUAUUUAGAACUUACUGUGUAUGCAUUCCUGAAAAAUAUAGCUUAAUUUUGCCUAAAGAAAUUUGCUUGAUUUUAUAUAAAUGUAAUCAUAUUGAAUUUAUUAUGUCUUGCUUAUUUUGGCCAACAUGUUUAUAAAGUUUUUCCACUUCGUUGCACAUAGUUGUAUUUGUUUAUUUCAAUCAAUUAUCACGUCAGGAUUCUGAUUAUUUCUGAGAGAGAGAGAAGAGAAUUGUGAUUGGAGCAGCACAUGGGG
rnacentral:lncRNA from 1 species